GUCGUGAGAUGUUGGGUUAAGUCCCGCAACGAGCGCAACCCUUGCCUUAGUUUGCCAGCAGUUCGGCUGGGCACUCUAAAGGGACUGCCGGUGUUAAACCGGAGGAAGGUGGGGAUGACGUCAAGUCAUCAUGGCCCUUACGGCCUGGGCUACACACGUGCUACAAUGGUCGGUACAAAGGGUUGCCAAGCCGCGAGGUGGAGCUAAUCCCAUAAAACCGAUCGUAGUCCGGAUCGCAGUCUGCAACUCGACUGCGUGAAGUCGGAAUCGCUAGUAAUCGUGAAUCAGAAUGUCACGGUGAAUACGUUCCCGGGCCUU
rnacentral:rRNA from 1 species